UAAAAGGGUGUCUUCCGCUUGCAUGGAACGCUUGGCCUAUUCGGUCUGAGCGGGGUAUGGCCAUCAAUACAUACCCGACACAUAAUUUUUUUAACUGCGGGCAGUUGGCUACCCUCGAGUGCCGGCGCCUGC